AAAGAUCUACAAUAACAACUAAAAAGUUUCCGAAAGGAAUACUCUGCGCUUGCUGGCUAAAAAAAUGAUUGUUUUCACUCGUGACUACAUCGUCAACAUCAUUUUACUCAAAACUAAUCCGAACAUAAAGAGGUGUUGAUACUCCUCUUACAACUUACUUUGACUUUCUGUUUCUGCAGAUAUUUGUAAUUACGUCUCGGAAAAGAUACCAGUUCUUUUUCGACAAAGAAGUAAAAUACCAAUGGAAUACUAUCUCUCAUGAGUAUUACGGUACAUAACUGUGUUGUACGAGACCAAAUUGUCAACAGAGAAUUCUCUCUUGAAGGGCUUAGUCCUACAAACGCUUUACGCCGAAGUCCAUGCCAGGAAUAUAAAUUUCUCCAAUGACUAGGUGUAUUUUUACUCUUCCUAAACGUGAUGCUCAUCCAUAGAAUGGUACAGUAACCCCAACAAUUUGUCCAGUUGCUGGAAACCAUAUAUACACUCUGAUGCUCAGCCAACAUGCUAUAUGGAGUUCGAUCCUGGGAAAAUCUUGGGUGGAAAUUUUAAGAAUUACCAAGGGAAACGGUAAAGUGUCUUUCCCAACAACGCAAAAAUUUGAUUUUCUCAGAGUUUAGGCACCAUCCGAGACCUUCCCCUCCAAAAUCAUUUCGUAACUGCGUCACCUCACGAUCCCCUUGUUAAUCAGUUGGUAUAAUUAAUAAUAAUGAUUGUGACAUUCAUGAUUAAUAGUGACAGUAAUGGUUUAAUUUUGAGAUCGCGUGAUAGCUGAAGGCGUGCCGUCAAUUUGCUGAUAUAAUACAUGGGUGUUUUCUUUCUUCUUCAGUAAACUGUAGGAAAGGUUUUAAAAAGGCAUCAAAUGGGAAAUGUGUCGACAUCGACGAAUGCAGUCUGGAGUCUGGUGGCUGUGCGGACAAAGUUGCCACGUGUCAAAAUAACUUUGGCUCAUACACAUGUACUUGUCCUCUAGGGUACAGGACAAACUAUAAAAACCGCUGUGAAGAUGUGGAUGAAUGUCGAUCAAACAAUGGCGACUGUGAUGAGGAUUGUAUAAACACUGAUGGCUCAUUUCAUUGCGCAUGUCGACGCAGUGGCCUUCGAGUCGUCGAUGGUUACCGCUGUGCAGAUAUUGACGAGUGUCAAGAAGGAAAGGACGACUGUGACAAGACGACAACUACGUGUAGCAAUUACCCAGGUCAUUUCCAGUGUAAAUGUAAACCGGGAUGCGA